rnacentral:rRNA from 1 species
CCUACGGGAGGCAGCAGUAAGGAAUACUGGUCAAUGGACGCAAGUCUGAACCAGCCAUGCCGCGUGAAGGAUGAAGGUCCUCUGGAUUGUAAACUUCUUUUAUAUGGGAAGAAAUCCCGGAAUUCUUUCUGGGUUGACGGUACCAUAGGAAUAAGCACCGGCUAACUCCGUGCCAGCAGCCGCGGUAAU